CCCUUAGAUGUUCUGGGCUGCACGCGCGCUACACUGACGCACGCAACAGGUGCCUGCUCCGAGAGGACUGGGUAAUCAUUUGAGUGUGCGUCGUGGUGGGGAUAGAAUAUUGUAAUUAUUACUCUUCAACGAGGAAUUCCUAGUAAGCGCCAGUCAGCAGCUUGCGCUGAUUACGUCCCUGCCCUUUGUACACACCGCCCGUCGCUCCUACCGAUGGGUGAUCCGGUGAAUGAUUCGGACUUCAGCGGCUCCCCUGGGGUGCGCCGGAGAAAGUUUUGUGAACCUUAUCACUUGGAGGAAGGAGAAGUCGUAACA
rnacentral:rRNA from 1 species